CACGUAGGGUGCGAGCGUUGUCCGGAAUUAUUGGGCGUAAAGAGCUCGUAGGCGGUGUGUCGCGUCGGCCGUGAAAACCUGCAGCUUAACUGUGGGCUUGCGGUCGAUACGGGCAUCACUGGAGUUCGGCAGGGGAGACUGGAAUUCCUGGUGUAGCGGUGAAAUGCGCAGAUAUCAGGAGGAACACCGGUGGCGAAGGCGGGGUCUCUGGGCCGAUACUGACGCUGGAGGAGCGAAAAGCCGUGGGGAGCGAACAGG
rnacentral:rRNA from 1 species